AUAUACGACCGUACCGCAAACCGACACUGGUGCGCGAGAUGAGUAUUCUAAGGCGCUUGAGAGAACUCAGGAGAAGGAACUCGGCAAAUUGACACCGUAACUUCGGAAGAAGGUGUGCCCUAUUAGUGUGUAGUGAACAACGAAGCAUGAAUGGGUUGCAAAAAAUCGGUGGCUGCGACUGUUUAUUAAAAACACAGCACUCUGCAAACACGAAAGUGGACGUAUAGGGUGUGACGCCUGCCCGGUGCUGGAAGAUUAAAUGAUGGGGUGCAAGCUCUUGAUUGAAGUCCCAGUAAACGGCGGCCGUAACAAUAACGGUCCUAAGGUAGCGAAAUUCCUUGUCGGGUAAGUUCCGACCUGCACGAAUGGCGUAACGAUGGCCACACUCUCCUCCUGAGACUCAGCGAAGUUGAAAUGUUUGUGAUGAUGCAAUCUCCCCGCGGAAAGACGGAAAGACCCCAUGAACCUUUACUGUAGCUUUGUAUUGGACUUUGAACAGAUCUGUGUAGGAUAGGUGGGAGGCUUUGAAGCAGGGUCGCUAGAUCUUGUGGAGCCAACGUUGAAAUACCACCCUGGUGUGUUUGAGGUUCUAACCUAGGUCCAUUAUCUGGAUCGGGGACAGUGCAUGGUAGGCAGUUUGACUGGGGCGGUCUCCUCCCAAAGCGUAACGGAGGAGUUCGAAGGUACGCUAGUUACGGUCGGACAUCGUGACGAUAGUGCAAUGGCAUAAGCGUGCUUAACUGCGAGACUGACAAGUCGAGCAGAUGCGAAAGCAGGACAUAGUGAUCCUGUGGUUCUGUAUGGAAGGGCCAUCGCUCAACGGAUAAAAGGUACUCUGGGGAUAACAGGCUGAUACCGCCCAAGAGUUCAUAUCGACGGCGGUGUUUGGCACCUCGAUGUCGGCUCAUCUCAUCCUGGGGCUGUAGCCGGUCCCAAGGGUAUGGCUGUUCGCCAUUUAAAGAGGUACGUGAGCUGGGUUUAAAACGUCGUGAGACAGUUUGGUCCCUAUCUUCCGUGGGCGCUGCAGAUUUGAGGAAGCCUGCUCCUAGUACGAGAGGACCGGAGUGGACACACCUCUGGUGUAUCGGUUGUCACGCCAGUGGCAUUGCCGAGUAGCUAAGUGUGGAAGAGAUAACCGCUGAAAGCAUCUAAGCGGGAAACUCGUUUCAAGAUGAGAUCUGCCGGGGCCUUGAGCCCCCUAAAGAGUC
rnacentral:rRNA from 1 species